rnacentral:tRNA from 1 species
GCCUUUGUGGUGUAAUGGUUAGCACAAUCGGCGCAUAUUCGAGAUGUCCAGGGUUCGAGUCCUGCCGAGGGCA